rnacentral:lncRNA from 1 species
GAUUCUGCACUGCCUGCAGCCCUGGGAGACAGAGCAAGUUCAGAAACCUGGUUUAUGCUAGUUUUACAAAGGAGAAAACAGGAUUGGAGAAAUUAAAUUGGAGAAUUUGUGGCACAUUGACUGAACAAAACACAGUCUUGUUCUUAUGACUCCUUGCCGGUGUGAUGUGGAAUUACACUCUCCUGAGGACAUGGUUUACAGAAGAAAGCACUGCAUUUCAGCCAGACUGUGGGAUGAUGGAAUAAUAUUGUCACAGAAUUCUUGCAAAGUAGGUUGCCUUUGCUGUCUAUUGGUAUUUUCUGGUUUACAAUACAGCACAGGAACUAUGUCUAGAUUGUCUGCCAUAAGGCAAUUAUCAGUUUUUAAUUAGCCUUUGGUGAUAUUUUCAAAAGUUUUAUUGACUUGGCUAUGACAAAUAUAAAGUGAUCAAAGUGGGAGAAAAAGCACUCUAAGCAGCUUGUUAUUUUAAAAAUAAUUGCUUAUCCACAGGUUUAUUUGUCUUAAUCCAAUUGAAUUUUUUUCCUUAAAACAGAUUUAUUUGUAGAUGGGACAUGGUUCUCUAGAUCCCCCAAAUACGUAGCUCUGAUUCUUAGCAGUUUCCUUAAUUUUUUCAAUCUGAAUUUCCAAGUUACUCCCUCUUGUCUGACUUAAAUCUCCUUUAUUCUAAUUAAAACACUUAAGCCCAUAUCCCAUUUUGGGUCUUGAAAGGUAGCUCCUAAGCCUUCUUGGCGUACUAUUUAGCAAUGAUUGUAUAGAGAAUUCCUAUUUUGGUGAAAUGGUAUUGGCAGAAUGUUACUGUGGCGUUAUCUGUUUCCUAUCUUAAAAAACACUGGUGUUCUUCACAAAGCACAGUGCUCAUAAUGGGCUUCUACAAAAAGAGGGGAGGUGGGCACCCCAAAUUGCAAGACUUGCUUCAUGGAAAAUGAAUGGGAAGAAGGCACAGAGUGAUUGGCAAAUGUAGGAAGGGGCAACUUUAGGAACUCUCUCAAAUUGGGAGGCUUUAUUAAGCACAAAUGGAUAAAUAUCCUUCUUUGUGGAAUUAUGUUCAUAUGCCAUGUCUAGAGACAAAAACUAACAGACUGAUGUUUAUCUACAGUCACAUAUUGUAUGUUAUUCUCUGGCAUUUUUCUUUUCUUUUGUGAAAUUUCUAGUUCUAGCUAGGAAUGAGCCACAAUGAAACAAUGAUUACAUUAAAAAUCCACUGGAGGAAAAAAGAUGGAAAAGAAUUUACCCAAUCUUAAUGGUAGUUGAGCUUAGAUGAGCUCUGUAUAAUUUUACUUUAUAAUUUCUACUUUUCUAUAAUUUUAGAUUUCUUUGAGAAGUAUGUUUCAAUGAGUAUUUAUAACUUUAAAAAAUGAGUUUGCAUUUUAUCUAAAUAAAGAAAUCAAAUGGAUACA